UACAGAGGGUGCUAGCGUUGUUCGGAAUUACUGGGCGUAAAGAGCGCGCAGGCGGUCGAUUUAGUCGUGUGUGAAAGCCCCCGGCUCAACUGGGGAGGGUCACGCGAUACUGAUCGACUCGAAGGCAGGAGAGGGUAGUGGAAUUCCCGGUGUAGUGGUGAAAUGCGUAGAUAUCGGGAGGAACACCGGUGGCGAAGGCGGGUCUCUGGGCCGAUACUGACGCUGAGGAGCGAAAGCGUGGGGAGCGAACAGG
rnacentral:rRNA from 1 species